GAUCGAGGGAAUUUAAAAAAAAAAAAAGGAAAAGAGGAGGUGGAAUGAAGCCAUUGUCAAUACGAGUGUGAAAAAUAAGUGAGAAUCGGAUAAUUGUCAAAAUGAGCAUCCUUUGAGAUUCAUAUGAAAACGGCUCACAUUAAAACCCUUCUGGCGUGUGCGUGACGAGCAGCAGGGAGGUGCAGGUGUUUCUCCAAAAAGUGAGACAGUUUCCACACAUGCUGCCGCCUUAUCACCCAGCUCAGUAUUUAGCCUUUAAGUGAAAAAAAAGUAGCAUUCAUGCAAAAUUACUAUAAAAAAAAGCUGCUAGCAAGAGGACACAGGCUUUUAGAGAUCACAUGACACACUGUAUGUUGCAUAACUGUGCCACCAAAAGUCUUAAGACUUAACAGAUCUUAAAAAA